rnacentral:rRNA from 1 species
GUCUACGGCCAUGCUACCUGAAAAAGCCCGAUCCCAUCUGAUCUCGGAAGCUAAGCAGGGUUGGGCCUGGUUAGUACUUGGAUGGAAGACCACCUAGGAAGACCAGGUGCUAUAGGUG